rnacentral:lncRNA from 1 species
GUCUUGACAUCAGAUCUUAGUGGGAUAUAAUAGAAAAGGGAAAUAAAUCUACUCUUAAAGAGCUUUCUCCACUUCUUCUUACCCCCGAGGUUUAUUGUUUCUGGAGGUAGUACUUAAGCAUGAUAUUUUGGCCCUGCUCAUUUUUCCUUACAGCUGAACCUUGCUUGAAUUUCUGUUUUUUUCAAUUAUUAUUAUUUUGGGGUUAUAUUUGUUCACUUGUUUUAUUUUUUAGAUUCCACAUAAAAGUGAAAAUGUAUGGUAUUUAUCUUUCUCUGUCUGACUUAAAUCACUAAGCAUAAUACCCCCCAGGUCUAUACAUUUUGCAAACGGCAGAAUUGCAUUCUUUUUUAUGGCUGAGUAAUAUUCUGUUGUAUAUAGAAGAUGUGGUAUUUAUUUUCUCAAGUAUUCGUAUUCUCUGGUAGCCAUUUUUCUCAAAGAGGCAAAGGGAAUAUUCAAAAGUCUUGUAGAUGGGUUACACUCUUUACUGAUCCUAUGUUAUAUCUUGUAUCUAACCAUUGUACCGGAGAAAUUUAUUACUGUCUAAUGGCCAGCUCACAUCUCUGGCUCGUGGGCACCAAGCCCUCCACACUACGGCUCCAUUUAAACUCACAGAGUCUCUUGUAUGCAUGACUGAUGGGAAAAUUUCUCUUUUUUUCCCUAGCAUUUUUUCUAAGGUUAAACAUAAAAACUGCCACAAACUAUAAGCACAGUUUAGUGGAUUAUAGGUGAUCUCUGUUUCUUUGUGCUCUUCAGUAUUUCAAGCGAGUUUUUUUUUUUGGGGGGGAUGUGCAUCAUACUUUCAUAAUCAGAAAAGAAAACGGAAAAAUCAUUAAAGUCUGCUCUGACUAUAGAAAUAGAGACUUUCUCAGAGGUCUUCUUAGCUUUAGAGGAAACUAUUAAAAACUCAUUGGUCUCACCUGAAAUUUACUUAGAGACAUAUAUUUUUCUAAAGGUGAUUUUGUUCUUUUUUUUUUUUUUAAUUAAUGUUUAGUUUCUCAUUAUCUUGCAGUUUCAAUAUGGACAGCCUGCCAGGAAAUGGUAGCUCAGGGGACUCACUGCUCAGGGACCAGCGGGGUGGGGUGUAAGCAGGGAGGGAGAGCCGUGGUGGCUGCUGCCUGGGCACCAUCACCUUCCCAGCUGGUCUGUCUGGACGGCUUUGCCUUCAGCCCAGAAGCCAGCGAGGCCUGAGAGGCACACAGCUUCCUGGAGUUGAGAGUACUUGUUGGGCCGUGCUGUCCUGACCUUCUCUCUAAGUUGGCACAGUGUACCAUAUGGACGACCUCAAGAGACUAAGGCACCGUUUCUCUGCCCAGAGGACGUGCCGUCUAGAGUGGGAGCAGUGCUGCCCAGAGUGUGCCUCAGAGGUCAAGGUCUGUCCCCUCACCGAAGGCACCUGGAGCCGGUCAGUCACGGCUAAAAGCAAGUGUUGAUGACCAACUGCCCACGAUCUCAGGAAGAUGGGAAUUAGGGCUGAAGAUGGGGUCCCUGGAACACUUGUUUCCAAGGCAGCUGCCUACGAGGCGGUCCGCUAGGAUGUGGGAAGAACAUUUUAGAAUUUGUUUUACUUUUUCAUUUCACUCAUUUAAGGUUUGUCCUUGAACCUGUUUUAUAUGUGUAUAGUAGUACAUGCAUACAAUUUGUGAAACAAAACUCAGAGUGCGUGGUUGUAAUUUUCUCACCGAUGAGACAGUGCUGACAUUAACACUCGCUUAUCUUCCGAUUACUGAAUCAGAUGGCACGUUCAGCGUGUGACCAACCUAUGCAGCAGCCGUCUUUGUCUUCACGUCCACAAAGGAAAAAAAGGAGUUAAUUGUCUAACAGAAGAGUUGGCACUCAUGCAC